CAGCAGCCGCGGGAACACGGAGGGAGCUAGCGUUGUUCGGAAUUACUGGGCGUAAAGCGCGCGUAGGCGGUUACUCAAGUCAGAGGUGAAAGCCCGGGGCUCAACCCCGGAACUGCCUUUGAAACUAGGUGACUAGAAUCUUGGAGAGGUCAGUGGAAUUCCGAGUGUAGAGGUGAAAUUCGUAGAUAUUCGGAAGAACACCAGUGGCGAAGGCGACUGACUGGACAAGUAUUGACGCUGAGGUGCGAAAGCGUGGGGAGCAAACAGGAUUAGAUACCCCCGUAGUCCCUGUCUCUUAUAC
rnacentral:rRNA from 1 species